AAUGAACGUUGGCGGCGUGGAUUAGGCAUGCAAGUCGAGCGAGAAAUUUGUGAAUGAUCCUUCGGGUGAUUGAUCAGAUGGAAAGCGGCAAACGGCGUAGUAAUGCGUAGGUUACGUACCCUCAGAUCGGGAAUAGCCAUGGGAAACCGUGGGUAAUGCCCGAUAAUGUCUGUGGACCAAAGGUGUGAUUCCGUCUGAGGAGCGGCUUACGUGAUAUUAGCUUGUUGGUGGGGUAAUGGCCUACCAAGGCGACGAUGUCUAGGGGGUGUGAGAGCAUGGCCCCCACGACCGGAACUGAGACACUGUCCGGACACCUACGGGUGGCUGCAGUCGAGAAUCUUCCGCAAUGGACGAAAGUCUGACGGAGCGACGCCGCGUGCGGGAUGAAGGCCCUUGGGUUGUAAACCGCUGUCAGAGGGGAUGAAAUCAUGGUUGGCUAUCCUUCCAUGUUGACAGAGCCUCAGAGGAAGCACGGGCUAAGUACGUGCCAGCCGCCGCCGUAACAC
rnacentral:rRNA from 1 species